UAAAGAUUUUGGCGGUAUUUUAGUCUAUUCAGAGGAAUCUGUCCUAUAAUUGAUAAUCCACGAUUUAAUUUACUUUUAGAAAAAAUUUAUAUAUCGUCGUAGUUUGAAUAUUUUAAAAGAAUUUUAAUGUUCAAAAUUUUUUUAUAAAAUUAAAUCAGAUCAAGGUGUAGUUUAUAUAAAAGAAGAGAUGGAUUACAUUAAAUUUAUUUAAAGAUUAAUUUUUGUAAAAUUUUAUGAAUAUGGAUUUGAUAGUAAUUUUUUUAAAAUUUUAAAAAUGAUUUAAGCUCUAAAAUAUGUACACAUCGCCCG
rnacentral:rRNA from 1 species